CAGUCGCCGCGGUAAUGCGUAGAUCCCGAGCGUUGUCCGGAUUUAUUGGGCGUAAAGCGAGCGCAGGCGGUUAGAUAAGUCUGAAGUUAAAGGCUGUGGCUUAACCAUAGUACGCUUUGGAAACUGUUUAACUUGAGUGCAAGAGGGGAGAGUGGAAUUCCAUGUGUAGCGGUGAAAUGCGUAGAUAUAUGGAGGAACACCGGUGGCGAAAGCGGCUCUCUGGCUUGUAACUGACGCUGAGGCUCGAAAGCGUGGGGCGCAAACAGGAUUAGAUACCCCGGUAGUCCCUGUCUCUUAUACA
rnacentral:rRNA from 1 species